CCUACGGGAGGCAGCAGUGAGGAAUAUUGGUCAAUGGACGAGAGUCUGAACCAGCCAAGUAGCGUGAAGGAUGACUGCCCUAUGGGUUGUAAACUUCUUUUAUAAAGGAAUAAAACGAGGCACGUGUGCCUUUUUGUAUGUACUUUAUGAAUAAGGAUCGGCUAACUCCGUGCCAGCAGCCGCGGUAAUACGGAGGAUCCGAGCGUUAUCCGGAUUUAUUGGGUUUAAAGGGAGCGUAGAUGGGUUGUUAAGUCAGUGGUGAAAGUGUGCGGCUCAACCGUAAAAUUGCAAUUGAUACUGGCAGUCUUGAGUACAGUUGAGGUAGGCGGAAUUCGUGGUGUAGCGGUGAAAUGCUUAGAUAUCACGAAGAACCCCGAUUGCGAAGGCAGCUUACUAAGCUGUGACUGACGUUGAUGCACGAAAGUGUGGGUAUCAAACAGGAUUAGAUACCCUUGUAGUC
rnacentral:rRNA from 1 species